AGAAAGGUUACUUAACGCAUAUGGUGGAUGCCUUGACUCAUACAAGCGAUGAAGGGCGUAGCAGGCUGCGAUAAGCCUCGGGGAGCUGCCAAGCAAGCUUUGAUCCGUGGAUUUCCGAAUGGGACAACCCAGCCGUGCGCAGCACGGAAAACCCAAAUUUCAAAUUCCAAAUUCCAAAUAAAAUUCAAAAUCUAAAUUUCAAAAAUUUAAGACUUUUGUUAUCCAGAGUUUGUUUAUUGUUUGUGAUUUGUGUUUUUGUGACGUUUGGAAUUUCCGCGCUAUGCGCG
rnacentral:rRNA from 1 species